AGUGGAGCGAGUUCCAUCUCAUCAUUUGCUAAACGGUGAGAUUCAACUCCUCUGACUUU
rnacentral:pre_miRNA from 1 species